GACCGUGUGGCCUAAUGGAUAAGGCGUCGGACUUCUAGUUCUAGCAUACGAAAUCAGCGAUCCGAAAAUUGCGGGUUCGACACCCGCUACGGUUA
rnacentral:tRNA from 1 species